rfam:Ovis aries breed Texel chromosome 10, whole genome shotgun sequence.
UGGCUCAGAGGUUAAAGCGUCUGCCUCCAAUGCAGGAGACCUGGGUUCGAUCCCUG